rnacentral:rRNA from 1 species
UACGUAGGGUGCAAGCGUUAAUCGGAAUUACUGGGCGUAAAGCGUGCGCAGGCGGUUCUAUAAGACAGAUGUGAAAUCCCCGGGCUCAACCUGGGGAACUGCAUUUGUGACUGUAGAGCUGGAGUACGGCAGAGGGGGAUGGAAUUCCGCGUGUAGCAGUGAAAUGCGUAGAUAUGCGGAGGAACACCGAUGGCGAAGGCAAUCCCCUGGGCCUGUACUGACCGUCAU